rnacentral:lncRNA from 1 species
AGAGAACAGAGACAAAAAAUAUUAGUAAUUUUUCAUCUUUCCACUUACUUGUUUGGGAGAAGAUAAAAACAAUUCCUGGCUAUAAAUCUAUUUAAGCUAAUGGCCAAAGAACAAGACAGAGGGCAGUAGCCAAACCUAAAAGGAGUAUUUUGGUUUUUAGUAGGUUGUCACUGGGCAAAAUACUGCUAAUUUUCCAACUAUUUACAUUCCAGCUACUGCUCAUGAACUAUAGGGGCUCACAGGUGGUGAGUUUCUUUGUCCUUCUUCAUCCAGAUAUCGCCAUCCCAAAGACACCAAAAAGAACUACUAUUCUUUCCCCUCACCUUCCUUUUCAAUUACCAUUACUUUAGAUCAAGCAGGCAAAUAAUCAAGGACAUCUUUUUUUUUUUUUUUUUGAGACAGAGUCUCACUCUGUCGCCCAGGCUGGAGUACAACUCUGUCUCAAAACAAAACAAAACAAAAAACACAACAACAAAAUAAACAACCUUG